UACGAAGGGGGCUAGCGUUGCUCGGAAUUACUGGGCGUAAAGCGCACGUAGGCGGCUUUCUAAGUCGGGGGUGAAAUCCUGGAGCUCAACUCCAGAACUGCCUUCGAUACUGGAAAGCUCGAGUCCGGGAGAGGUGAGUGGAACUGCGAGUGUAGAGGUGAAAUUCGUAGAUAUUCGCAAGAACACCAGUGGCGAAGGCGGCUCACUGGCCCGGUACUGACGCUGAGACGCGAAGGCGUGGGGAGCGAACGGG
rnacentral:rRNA from 1 species